GUAGUUUACCUCCUUGUAUUGGAUGUGGUUUCACCUAUGACGGGAUAUGUGGGGCUGAGACCUCAAUUUCCCCUUCAAUCGGGAGCCCUCCAAGCUCCAGAGCAUCUCCUCCUGGAAACUUUCCCUAAUAACCACUCAUCCUAUUUUUCCACCCACAGGAAAGAUGUUCUGCCUGGAGCACCACCUGUUUCCCCACUACCCCCUUCACUGCCCAGGGUGAAGCAGCAUCACAUGACCCUCUCCCUAGCAGGAUGGUCUUAAGCUUUCACCUCCUAGGGGCAUUUCAUAGAGGCAGUAGAAAACCAAAAUACCCUUUUGACCUUAAAAAACAAUGCCUUACACCUCUACUGAAAGUGCUUGUUUGCUGAAUUGAAGACUUUAAGGAAUGAAGUUAUAAUGGUAGAAUAUCAACUGAAAUUCUCGUGCAGAUAUGUGAUCCCAGAAGUGCCAUUCUGCCUUCCCCCUGCUGCCGCCCUCUUGAAGCUGUGCUAUGGGGGCCCAGUCUCGGUCGACCGGGUAAUCAGUGAGCAGCACCGGCGUCUUGUCGAAAAGCUCACCCUUGUAGCUGCGCCACUUGCCGGCGGGCAAAUAGACGUCACGCUCCUGCUUGCCCGGCUCCAGCACCGGGGCCACAAGCAGCGUGUCCCCAAUAAGGAACUGAGAGUCUAUGCGGUGAGCUGUCUCGUCGCCGGGCGCAAUCCACCAAAGGGGGCGCACAAUGGGGUCACCCGUGUCGGUGACCUCGCCCGCCAGCUCAAGCAACAGCGGCGCCACAAGCGAGGCCCGCAGGGCGGUGAACUUCUGCGCGAUGGCCACCACUUCCGCGUCGUAGCGCCAGGGCGGGAUAGAGAACUGCAUGGCUGGCAUAAAAGCGGCCACUUCCAGCCAGCGAAUGUAGAGCUCGCGCUCGGGCACAUCGCCGCCGGCUGUACGCUGGGGCACGGCGUUGCCGCCCACCAUAUCGGGUAG
rnacentral:lncRNA from 10 species